rnacentral:sRNA from 1 species
GGGCCGGCUGGGCCGGGGCCGCGGACGAGAUGGCGGAAGGUGGAGGCUGCCGUGAGCGACCGGAUGCGGAGACUCAGAAGUCCGAGCUUGGAGCCUUAAUGAGGACCACACUCCAACGCGGGGCGCAGUGAUCCUGAGAGUCAGACCUUGAAAGAACACUUAAUUGAUGAAUUGGACUAUGUAUUGGUCCCCACCGAGGCGUGGAAUAAACUACUAAACUGGUACGGCUGUGUAGAAGGCCAGCAACCCAUCGUCAGAAAAGUUGUGGAGCAUGGCCUGUUUGUCAAGCACUGCAAAGUCGAGGUGUAUUUGCUGGAACUAAAGCUCUGUGAGAACAGUGACCCCACCAAUGUGCUGAGUUGCCAUUUCAGCAAGGCAGACACCAUUGCAACCAUCGAGAAAGAGAUGCGGAAGCUAUUCAACAUCCCUGCGGAGCGUGAAACACGGCUCUGGAACAAAUACAUGAGCAACACCUACGAGCAGUUGAGCAAGCUAGACAACACUGUCCAGGAUGCUGGGCUAUACCAGGGUCAGGUGCUAGUAAUUGAGCCUCAAAAUGAAGAUGGCACAUGGCCCAGGCAGACCUUGCAGUCAAAGUAAG